AGUGAACGCUGGCGGUAGGCCUAACACAUGCAAGUCGAUCGGCAGCACAGUAAGAGCUUGCUCUUACGGGUGGCGAGUGGCGGACGGGUGAGGAAUACAUCGGAAUCUACUUUUUCGUGGGGGAUAACGUAGGGAAACUUACGCUAAUACCGCAUACGACCUACGGGUGAAAGCAGGGGAUCUUCGGACCUUGCGCGAUUGAAUGAGCCGAUGUCGGAUUAGCUAGUUGGCGGGGUAAAGGCCCACCAAGGCGACGAUCCGUAGCUGGUCUGAGAGGAUGAUCAGCCACACUGGAACUGAGACACGGUCCAGACUCCUACGGGAGGCAGCAGUGGGGAAUAUUGGACAAUGGGCGCAAGCCUGAUCCAGCCAUACCGCGUGGGUGAAGAAGGCCUUCGGGUUGUAAAGCCCUUUUGUUGGGAAAGAAAAGCAGCAGGUUAAUACCCCGCUGUUCUGACGGUACCCAAAGAAUAAACUCCGGCUAACUUCGU
rnacentral:rRNA from 1 species